UACGUAGGUGGCAAGCGUUGUCCGGAUUUACUGGGCGUAAAGAGCGCGCAGGCGGUCGUUCAAGUCGCGUGUGAAAGCCCCCGGCUCAACUGGGGAGGGUCACGCGAUACUGAUCGACUCGAAGGCAGGAGAGGGUAGUGGAAUUCUCGGUGUAGCAGUGAAAUGCGUAGAUAUCGAGAGGAACACCAGUGGCGAAGGCGAGUCCCUGGACAGGUCCUGACGCUGAGGCACGAAAGCUAGGGGAGCAAACAGG
rnacentral:rRNA from 1 species